rnacentral:lncRNA from 1 species
CUGAGUUCCCACCUUUCUUCUAGCCUGCGUGGAAGGCUUCCUAUGAAAGCUUCCCCUUUCUUCACACAGCCAGCAGCCUAGAGGCAGCAGGAAAUCAAGACUGCUUCAAACAGGUGAAGAAGAUGGCCGUGAAAGCCACAAGGUCAUCCCCCUGAAGGAGAAUGGCCUGCUCCAGAUGGGAAGUUUAUCUGCCUGGAUCCUGAAACGAAGACGACAUAUGGAUCAGGAACUGAGUCACUGACAGACUACAGCUGACUUACAACUUAAGUAAGAAGUAAACCUUCAUUAUUAUAAGCAGCAAUAUUUUGGAGUGGUCAGUGAUUGGUACCUUAGCUAACAAAAGCCGAAGAAUGCACCUUCAUUCAUUUUGUUUGUGUUUAUUCAUUAGAUUCAAGAUGUAUUUGUUGAUUAUCUAUUAAUAUUAUUGCAAUGUAUUCUGCUAACUGGUAGAGACACAGCUACUAAUGAGCUAGAUCCAAUGGCUGCCCUCGUGGAGUUAAUAUUCACAUAUUAGCCUACACUCCUCUUCCCUACAAGAUCUAGCAACUGCAAAUUUAACCAACAGCGGAUUGCCUUAGUUCAGCAUUGUCUGACUUGGGGUCAUACAAGUAGGCCCAAGAAGGAUCUGAAGAAAAAACAAGAAAAAUCAGGGAAAUUCCUGAUAAGGAGAAUGGGUCCCUGAAAACAAAUAUUAAAUUUUCAUUAUGACAAUUGCUUUAUAAUACAGACAACAGAGACAAUGGCUAAGAUCACUUUGUUCAGGUCAUCUGCUUUACCACAAUUUAAUUAUUAAGCGAAAAUACACACAGAGCCCUGGCCCAAUCCUUAUGAUGUCAACACCAAACUGGAAAUAUGGAGAGGUCAAGACUCAAAUUAGGGAUAGCAUUAGGAGAAAUACCUAAUGUAGAUGAUGGGUUGAUGGAUGCAGCAAACCACCAUGGCACGUGUAUACCUAUGUAAUAAACCUGCACAUUCCGCACAUGUAUCUCAGAAUUUAAAGUAUAAUAGUAAAAAAAAAAAAAAAAGAAAAAGAAAGAAAAAGAGAAUGACAAGUUAAAAAAAAAAAAAAAGACUCAAAUUAGCCCGAAAGGGUCAAUGGCAAGGCCUCAAGUGUGUCUGAAUUUGGAGGAGAAAAAAGGGAUGGCCUGUGUUUACUAUGUCCAGGGAAUAAACACAAGAAGGGGUCUGGUCUUCCCUGGUGUGUUCACGGACCCCAGGACUCUUCAUCAAAUGACUAAGCCACCUAAUUCAAUUCCUUAAAAUAAAUAUAAUGCUUGUGAUAAUCAACUCCCAUAUCCACUAUUGAGAGUCUAAAAAAUAUUAUUUUCUUUAUUUUUUAGCUCCUGCCCUGGCUUUCUGAUCAUCCUGGUAGUUUACAAAUCUCUGUUUUCUUUAUUUCUGUUUUUUUUUUUUUUUUUUUAAAGAGGUUAAGGCCAUAAAAUCCAUUAGAGAGAGACCACUGUGCUAUGCUAGAGCACGGCACAUUGCCUUAUGUUUUAAUAAUUACAAAAGGGCAAAAUCACUGAACUUUUCAAGAGUUCUUAGACAAGCCAGCUUUCUAUGCAGGUUAAGUACUUUAAAUCCCUUCCAUUUGGAUAGCACUGAUUUUUAUCUGAGAAUAAAAUAUGACUCUUCUGAACGAGGUAUUAUAUAAACUCUUGGUAAUAUUUUGGUAAUUCUAAAAAGAUCGCACUGAAGUCCUAAGAAACUGACAGUAACAGGCACGAAAUCUGAGUGAAU